GACUAUUUGCCUUCCUCGUGUAAAUAAGUUAAUUCAAAUUUAAAUGAAAAUACAACACUAUUUAAAUCUGUUGUCCAUCGAUAGAACAAUUUUGUACUACUCGUCCCACUUGACUUUUUUGAGAAUAGAAUUUUUCUAAAUUAUGGAAUUUAGUAAAGGGUUAUAAUAAACCUUAAGUAUGUAUGUUGGUACCAUAUGAGAUAUAUCGGGCAUUAAGACAACUCCAUUUACAUGACUCAUAAUUUGCGGUUAGGUAUGAUCGAUCGAGUCAGCUGUAAGUGUAAGUUAGUCGUCGUAUAGGUUAUAUUGAGUUUUCUAUUCGAAUAUUGUUGUUAUGGUGUUCUUGUUGACUAUAAUUUGGGGUUUUAUAGAAAUCUACUGAAUCAACUUGAACACAACUUGGUCUUUAGGAUAUAUAUCAGAGUUUGGACGAUGUCCUACGGUAGGUUAGUUUAGAGUAGUGAAGUAUUCGUAGGUUCGUAUUAUAUUUUAGAAAUUUGGUUUGGUCACGCCUGUGUUGGAUCCCACAGCGUGUGAUUUUUUCUCUGUGGAUACUUGUAUGGAGUAUCUAUAUGAGUAUAUAUAUGUAUAUGCAUAAUAAAAAAAAAGAUUGAUCAUAGGAUCAAUUUUUUUUUCUUACAAGUAAUGGGGGAAUGUAACGAUGAGUUACUACUAUCGUUACUAAAAUGUUAUUCCGAUGGGAACUAGGUAUGCAACCAACUUUACAAGCACUCGUAUUAGAGGUUGCAGUUGAUAGACGAUAAAGUUGGUAAUAUCUGGUAGAUUAGAGUCUAGCAGUUGGCAAUGACGAUAUCCGGCAGGGGUGUAGGUCAUAUCGGCCAUAGCGGCUGGCACUUCACUUGAAUUUUCGUUCUUGUCCGAUCAAGAAGUCCUCCGGUGGCCAUUGUAAGAAUUUACCUUUUGGUUGAAAUAAGUUAUAAGAAGAUUAAUUUACGUUGGAGGAAGUUUUAUUUUUUUGUUUGGGGUUGUGAAGAGUUUUUGGUUCCAAUAUUUUUUGAAGAAAACAAUGGCCACUGGAGGGAGACUAUAACAAAAUUUAAGUCACAUUUGGAUGCUUCAUUUAUUUAUGGAAUAAACAAUCAUUUUGGUAUUAUUUUGGGUUUGGAUUGGAAGAGUUUUGGAUGUUUUUUUUUUCGUUUCUGGAAUAGACACUGAGUUCUACCGACACUAGCAAGUACCUCCUCGUCAAUACUCUGUGUUGCUGUUCCUUACCUCCCGAGGGUUGGGAAGAUCGGAGGAUACGUACCUGGCUCUCUCAUCAUCAACCUCACCAGGAUUUUGGAGAAGCCACAGGCCUACUUUUGUAGAAACGCCAGGUUUUUAUAAUAAAAUUUGAAUUUUCAAUCCUUUUAAAUAAUAGUUUUCAAUUUUCAAUUUUUUUUCAAUAACUCAAAUACAUAACCUUAAUAAUAAUAUAAAUUCACCUUCUUAAACCCUAUUAUCUUUAUAAUAUUCAAUAAUUUUUUUUUGUCAACGAAUUUUAUAUUUCAUUUUCAUGAUUGUAUCAGGUAUUUAAAAUAAUCUCAGGAUUGUAAACUAUCUGGGACGAUACUGUGCACACUAUCGAAGGGUUUAUUUCCUACUCAAUAAUAUUUAUUCCAUUCACCAGAUAUUGUCAGGUUGUCACUUCCGAUCAGAUACGGGAUUGUCAGCCAAUCUUGUAUUCUACAGUAAUAAUUAGUUUGUACAUGCAUAUUUAGAUCAAAUCACUUCCUUAGUAGAAUAAAUUCAUUACAUAUAUUAGUUUUUUCAUACUGUAAAACCUGCAUUAUCGACAGGAGUGUACUACCAUAGUACGUCGGAUAUUUAGCUAGUGUAUAAAAUUGUAUAUAGGGUUUAUAGGUAUUUUUUUUAUUAAAUGUGGUUGUACAUA
rnacentral:lncRNA from 1 species